rnacentral:rRNA from 1 species
UACGUAGGGUGCGAGCGUUAAUCGGAAUUACUGGGCGUAAAGCGUGCGCAGGCGGUUUUUUGCGCCAGAUGUGAAAUCCCCGGGCUUAACCUGGGAAUGGCAUUUGGGACUGCAAGGCUGGAGUGUGGCAGAGGAGACUGGAAUUCCUGGUGUAGCAGUGAAAUGCGUAGAUAUCAGGAGGAAUACCGAUGGCGAAGGCAGGUCUCUGGGCUGACACUGACGCUCAUGCACGAAAGCGUGGGGAGCAAACAGG